GUGCUCACUAUGGCAGCACAUAUACUAAAAGUGGAGCAAUACAAAAAAGAUUAGCAUAACCCUUGUGCAAAGAUGACAUGCAAAUUCAUGACGCAUUCCAUACCUUU
ensembl:snRNA U6 U6 spliceosomal RNA